UGUGUUCCGACCAUUUACUCGCAUCUUUGGAGGCGAGUGUGUACUUAGCACCAAAACCUCCAAACUGCAGGUUUUGGGGUGCUGGGUACCGGUACCGCAGACGGGUACCAGAACCCCGUCGCGUGACCGAGAGGGGUGCUGUCACGCCCCAGGACCGAGCGGAAGCCCGCCCGGCGCGUGCCCAGACCCGCCAUACGUCUAAAACAUAUAAGGCGUCUAAAAACAACAAUAAAUAAAGCAGUAAUAAAAGACAACUAGGAGUAUCAGAGCAUGAUAAGUGUCUAAGUUCUACGACAAGGAAGUAAGGAUAAGACUGAAAUCUACUAAAGAAGCAUAAAGUAGUACAAAUGGAAAUCCCACAAACAAGUAUUGAAAGUAAAUACAUAGGUGGUCCCUACACAUGGAUACAAAAUCUCUCACUCUCUCAACUACAAAAAGAAAGAGUAAACCACCUAGGCAAAGAACCGCUCCUCGCUAACUAGCUAUGCGAUCCCCUUGCCGCGAUCCCGUGCCUCCGCCGGCGCCAAAGGCUCUGAAAGAAACCACGAAAAAGAGGGCGUGAGAACUAUUAAAAAUAUUUCCCAGUGGGCAAUUACUGACUUCAGUGAACUGCGCCACAAUGCCCAAAAGCUACAAAGAAGAGGUCAGUGACAAAAUGUAAUAAGACAAAAGGGAAGUAAAAUGUAACUUGCUGUAGCAUAAUGUCCCUAUUUAGCAUGAUUUGCAUAAGUAACAAAGCAACCAUAACAUGAAUAUACAUGGAUGGGUAUAACAUGAAUAAGCAUAGGUAUGCAACCGUCACGAAGUCCACAAUGCAAAUAGUAAAGAUGUCAUUGUUUACUAUUCUAGCUAAUGUCCCGUCAAUAUACAAGGUCAUCACCUGUCCACAUGUCUUAGUGAAGUACCCAAAUCAAAAUCCAAAUAGACCCACCCGAAGGCUGUCUAUGGCCCUGACCACCCGUAGGCUAUCUGGCCGGUGCCGAGCCUAAUGGCCCCGUGGUAGUCAUCAUCCCCACCCUAAGAAUGAGCCUGGCCCACGGCAAUCCACUUCGGCGCCCAAUCCCGCACGGCGAAUAUGAAUCGCGAUGGCUAUCUCCGGAGUGCCGGCUUGUAGGGAGCGACCCUCACAAGCAUGUGCGAAUGAGCACAAUGGCAAGUAGCCAUACGUCCUGUCACAAGUACAAAGUCCUCAUGUCUAAAACAUGGAAUGUAUUGAAUGUCCCAAUGGCCUAUCUCUAUGUCAUCAUGUCUCUAACAUGAAAUAUAUAGCAGAUGUUCGAUGGCCUAAUAUUAUGUCUCUAUGUUGCAGUUUAAUAGUUUACUAGUUUCGAGUGCCCCUUGAUGACACCUCAUGCUACUAAGUCAAAGCCUAGUAUAAUGUUCCCAUUAUGCAAAUGUGAGCUAAUUCAGCAUACUAGACGAGAAUCCCAUUCGUCCACACGAACACUCCUCAUAUGCAUGAAAAUAACCCUGAUUGCUCACUAUAUAGAGUAAAAUUUAACUUACACAUAAGACAUGCAUUUUAAGUGUUCUACAAUUUACAUAAAUUCCAUUUAGCAUAGAAAUGCAUUUAAAAAUACUUUACAACAAGUAUAAAAGGUAUAGGGGCCAUUUUGCCCCGUUUCCGCGAAGCCAAACCCACCAAAAUCGACUUCUUCGUUUAGCCGAACGAAGUGAUCCACGAGCUUCCUAGUACCCUAGAAGCAUCAAAAGUAGGGUUACCCGAACGAAACGAAGAGCCAAAAGCUCAAUCAUUAACCAUCUAGCGAAAGGGUUAAAACUCACCUCUUGUGAAGAAAUCCCUAAACAAGCUUCCAAAGAGAGCUAGAAUCCUUCCAAUCCCACCUAAAGGAAGAUUCUAAACCCAUCAAUUAGGUUCCAAAGCCCUCAAAACGAAAAUUCUCAAAUCUAACCCUAAAUCCCAAAAUCUAGGGUUUCAAACAAAAGAACCAUCAAAAACUAGAUCUAGAGGAAAGGAUCUAGUUACUAACCUCGUAUAAGCCUCAAACCAAGCUCCAAGGUCCCAAGGGUUGAAGAUCCUCCCUCCACAAAGCUCCAAUCCCGAGCUCAAGGCUUCUCUCAUAGAGGAAACUCAACAAGAAGCAAGAAAAGUAAGGAGGAGGAGAUCAAAACCUACAAAAAUCCACCAAAAAUAGAAAUUAAACAAGGAGAGGAAGCCUCACCUUGUUUCUCCUCUGGUCUAAGCUCAAGAGAGCUCUCUAAGGGGCAUGGGGUGUUAUAUAAAGGGUUAGCAACAAUUACAAAAACACACCCCCCCCCCACGAAACAGCCCAAUCUGCACUGUGUACCGGUACACGGGAUUGUGUACCGGUACACAACCCACGAAUAGCCAAACCCGAGCCUCGGGUUCGCCGGGAAGUGCUCUGUAUACCGGUACGCGAUCCCGUACCGGUACAGCCAUCAACCCCGUACCGGUACAGCAAGCAAUCCCGUACUGGUACACGGUCUGCUGAUGACUACCCGAGAGCUGACCAAAAAUCCGACUUUUCGAGUUUUGGUGCCAAGCUUAAAACCUCCAUUCUCGGGACUCGAACCAUAGGUCGGAAUACUGUCAACGACCCACCAGAAAGUCUGGAAAAGCUCAGAACACAGUCAAUCACUCGAACCCCUCAAUUUACAAGGUCCAGUGCAUUACAUUCACCCCUCCUAAAAAGGAGUUUCGUCCGCGAAACUCGAAAGCAACGUAUCUCAGGGCUCCAUCAAGAAUAGAUGGGGACAGUGCUCCUGCAAGGCGCUCUCAAGCUCCCACGUGGCCUCACGCUCGUCGUGGUUGCUUCAAAGCACUUUCACGUAGGGAAUUUUCCGGUUCCGCAAUCUUUUCACCUCGCGAGCCAAAAUCCUCAAAGGUUGCUCCUCAAAGCUCAAGUCCUCCCGCAACUCCAAAGAUGUAGCAUCCAAUACAUGAGUCGGGUCGAAGAUGUACUUCCGAAGGACCGAUACAUGAAAGACGUUGUGCACGCCCGAUAGGUUCUGUGGUAGAGCGAGUCGAUACGCUACCGGACCUACCCGCUCUAAGAUCUCAUACGGUCCAAUAAACCUGGGGCUCAACUUAUCCCGAAUCCCAAAUCGCCUGAUCCCCCUAGUCGGCGAGACCUUCAAGAAUACAUAGUCUCCAAUUUGGAAUUCCAAUUCUCGCCGCCGUCGGUCGGCGUAGCUCCUCUGUCUACUUUGCGCCGUCAAAAGUCACUCCCGAGCAAUUCGAACCUUGUCCUCAGCUUCCUGGAGCACAUCAGGGCAUAAAGCCAAUCUCUCGCCAACUUCACUCCAAUAAAGUGGCGAUCUACACUUCCGUCCAUAAAGGGCUUCGAAGGGUGCCAUCUUGAUGCUUGCUUGAUAACUAUUGUUAUAAGCAAACUCCGCCAUAGGUAGAUGCUGCGACCAUCCUCCCUGGAAGUCUAUCACACAUGCCCGAAGCAUAUCCUCUAAAGUCUGUAUAGUGCGCUCCGACUGUCCAUCACUCUGUGGGUGGAAAGCUGUACUGAAAUCCAACCGAGUACCUAAGGCGUCUUGCAGACUCCUCCAAAAGUGAGACACAAAGCGUGUGUCUCAAUCUGAAACAAUCGAUGUAGACACUCCAUGAAGCCGCACAAUCUCAUCAAGGUACACUUGUGCAAGCUUCUCUCCGGUCCAAGUAGUAUGAAUGGGUACGAAGUGCGCCGACUUCGUCAACCUAUCCACGAUCACCCAAAUAGCAUCAUGCCCGGCUGGAGAGCGGGGCAGUCCUGUCAAAAAAUUCAUGGUGAUCUUCUCCCACUUUCACACUGGAAUCGGUAGGCUCUGAAGCUUCCCCGCGGGCACUCGGUGCUCCGCCUUCACUUGCUGGCAAGUUAAACAUCUAGCAACGAACUCGCCAACAUCCUUUUUCAUCCCGGGCCACCAAUAGAGCAACCUUAAGUCCUUGUACAUCUUGGUACCUCUCGGAUGUAUAGCAUAUGUUGCUCGGUGCUCUUCUUGAAGAAUAUCCUCUUUAAUGUCCAAGUCCGCCGGUACACAAAGUCGUCCACGGAAACGCAUCAUUCCAUCACCGUCCAAAGUGAAAUCACCGGUGCAACCAUCAACCAUUUUAGCUCGAAUCUUUUGCAAUUCCACAUCGGGGACUUGCUUUUCUUUAAUUCUUUCCAUAAGUGUAGGUUGCACCACCAAGGUCAUCAGUCUCAAUGGUGUGUCAGGAGUCACCACCUCCAACUCUAGCUGCUUCAUCUGCUCAAUCAACUGCGGUUGAGUCACAACAUGUAUUGCUAAGUUUUCCAUCGAUUUCCUACUUAGCGCAUCCGCCACCACGUUAGCCUUACCCGGGUGGUAGAGAAUAGUAAGAUCAUAAUCCUUGAGUAGCUCCAUCCAGCUGCGCUGCCUCAAGUUCAACUCCUUCUGAGUAAACAGGUACUUUAAGCUCUUGUAAUCCGUGUAUACUUCACACCGCUCGCCAUAAAGGUAGUGGCGCCAUAGCUUUAAUGUGAACACUACGGUCGCCAACUCCAAAUCAUGCGUCGGGUAGUUCUUUUCAUACUCCUUCAGUUGGCGAGAAGCAUACGCGAUCACCUUGCCAUCCUGCAUCAAUACACAGCCCAAUCCAUUAAGUGAAGCAUCACUAUAAACCACAUACUCUGCUCCAGCUACUGGUAGGGUCAAGAUCGGGGCGGUCGUCAAUCUCUGCUUCAACUCUUGGAAGCUUCUCUCACACGCAUCAUUCCAAAUAAACUUGACUCCUUUAUGCGUGAGUCUCGUAAGGGGAGUAGAUAACUUAGCAAAUCCCUCAACAAAUCUCCGGUAGUAGCCGGCCAAUCCAAGGAAACUCCGUAUCUCCGUGACACUCGUCGGUUUCGGCCAAUCCUUGAUUGCUUCAAUUUUCUUAGGAUCCACAGCUAUACAUGAUCCUGAAAUCAAGUGUCCAAGGAAAGCUACCUCCCGAAGCCAAAAUUCACAUUUCUUCAACUUGGCAUAAAGCUCCUUUUCUCGAAGUAUUUGGAGUACAAUCCUCAAGUGUUCCUCGUGAUCCGCAUCGCUUCGGGAGUAGACCAAAAUGUCGUCGAUGAACACCACGACGAACCUGUCUAAAUAAGGCUUGAAAACACGGUUCAUUAGAUCCAUAAAAGCUGCCGGGGCGUUAGUUAGCCCAAACGGCAUAACUGUGAACUCGUAAUGUCCAUACCGUGUUCUAAAAGCCGUCUUCGAUACAUCCUCGGGCUUGAUCUUCAAUUGGUGGUAUCCUGACUGCAAGUCUAUCUUGGAAUACACACACGAUCCCUGAAGCUGAUCAAACAAGUCGUCGAUCCUCGGCAACGGAUACUUGUUCUUAAUCGUGACCUUAUUAAGUUCACGCUAGUCCACGCAAAGACGAAGUGAUCCGUCCUUCUUCUUGACGAACAAAACGGAUGCUCCCCAAGGUGAAACGCUCGGCCGUAUAAAGCCUUUAUCCAACAAAUCCUGCAGCUGUGCCCUCAGCUCCCUCAGCUCUGCCGGUGCCAUCCUAUAAGGUGCCCUUGAGAUUGGGGCAGUCCCUGGAACGAGAUCUAUCACAAACUCAAUCUCCCUAUCAGGAGGCAUACCCGGUAGCUCAGCUGGAAACACGUCCUGGAACUCCCGCAACACCGGGAUAUCCUCGAUCCUAGGGGUGUCAUCCUCGCCCCUCAGCACAACACUAGCCAAAUAGGCUACACAACCUCUGCUGAUCAGCUGCCUAGCUCGAGACGAGCUGAUCGUCAUCGCAAACAGCGAACCCCGGCAUCCACUAAAUACCACCUCGGUCUACCCCGGUUCUCUAAAAGUAACCAUACGAUUCUUGCAAUCAAUCGUGGCAUAAUACUUCGUUAACCAAUCCAUUCCCAAGACCACAUCAAAAUUCCCAAACUUGCGCAAAGCUAGCAAAUCUAUCGGCAUGAUCCAAUCUCCUACCCGAACAGGGCAACUGGGGCUAUACUCUCUAAUAUCCAAAAUGUGGUCGGGUACAACAACAUGUCCCGUAUGCAACAAAGAAACCAACGGGAUGCCAUGCAACUCGGCAAACAGCCGAUCUAUAAAUGAAUGCGAUGCACCGGUAUCAAAUAAAGCACGAACUCUAAUGCCAUCAAGUAAAAUGAUACCUGCAACCACAUCCUCGGCUGCUGCCGCCUCCUCGGUCUGAGCGGCAUACAUGCGCCCACUCGGGGCCUGUUGGGAUCCCUCGCUCUGGCGCUGGACGGGUGGCCGCCUAGGCUGGUACUGCGCCAAUGGAGUUCCCUGGCUGGCGGGUGGUAGAGCCGGUGCCGAUGCAGUAGACGGUGCUAGUGAAGAACCUCUCGGGCACUCAGUACGAACGUGGCCCUCCUGGCCACACUGGAAACACCUGCCCGCCCGCUGUGGACACUGCGGUGGAUAAUGGGAACCACCGCUAAUCACACACGGGGAAGGCCGGCGCUGAUCGGAUCCUCCUCGAGGUGCUGCUGAGCCGCGUCCACGCUGCUGGCUCCUCGGAUGUUUCGGCGGCCUCCUAGAGUGCGUCUGACUCGCACCCUCAGCCGCAGGCCUCUUGGCCUUACCCUUGUCCCUAGCCUCUCGCUGCUCCUGGACAUCCGCCGCACCGCUCUCCACAAUGAGCGCGCGAUCCACCACCUCCCGGUUGGUUUGGAGGUUAGAGAAUUGCACGAACCGAACGAUGGACGGCCUCAAUCCUCGCUCGGAAAUACGGGCCUUGUCCUCGUCGUCCCGCACAACGAAAGGCACGCAAUGCAAAAGCCGAGAAAGCUCCCGCUCUUACUCGGCCACAGUCCUGUCGCCUUGGCGCAAGUUGCGCAGAUCCUGCUCCAUCUUCCGCUUGACGCUGGUCAAGAAGUAAUGGGCCAAAAGAAGCUCCUUGAACCUCGUCCAAGUGAUAGCCGCCAAGUAAGUGCUGGGGUGCUCCUGGAAAUCAAACCACAAGCGGUAGGCCUCGCCGUCCAAGUGGUGAGUGGCGAGCCAAACUCGAUCCCUCUCCUCCACGAAGGUGUCGCGGAAGAGCUUCUCCAUAUGCAUCAACCACUUCUCCACGAUCCAGUGGUCGACCUUCUCGCCGUCGAAGACUCAGGGACUGCACCUUCUGAACUCAUUGAGGCGCUCCAUCAGUCUGUCUCGCUUCGCCCCCUCAACCAAGGUAGGAAAUGCAGCUCCAACGAGGGCCUCUGCACAGGUGGUGCCACCAAAACCUCCUCCUGGGGUGGGGCCUCUCAGUGCGAUGUCCAUAACUGGUGCUGGCGGUGUAGGGGCCUGCGUCUCCCUAGAAGCUACUGCUUGCUGCAGGAGUAAGUCCUCCAAGCGCUUCAUCUGCGCCUCCUGUCGGCGCGCCGCCUCAGUCUGAUGUCGGGCUGCCUCCGCCUGCUGAGUGACUAAAUCAGUGGGGCCGCAAGCUGGCCCCUCAACUCACGGACCUCGCUGGAUCCGAAGAUAGCGGAGGUCUCGACCUCCUCAAAGUUCGCCGCAUUGUCCGCUCCGGCAGAUUGAAAGCGUGUAAUCGGCAUCGCCACUACAAAACAUAAAAGCGCAAGUUAGUAAAACCCGCACUAUCGCAUCCCCUCUCAAUAAGCAAUACACAAAUCAUGCGAAAGUAAAGAAGUGUUCUACACUACUAACUCCCGAUGUUACGUUGUCGGCCGCCAACGUAACCCUCCGCGAAGUUAGAAGCCAUACACUUCGAUCCAACUCUAACUCUUUUAGAGUUAUCAAGAUACCCAAUCAUGGUACUUUCGCUCGCAAAUCAAAUAGACCUCAUCUCUCACGAGCCUAUUUCCUAUAGUCCAACCGGCCUAAGGUUUGCUAGGUCCCCUAAGACUCAACCCUAGGCUCUGAUACCAAAUUAAUCUGUCACGCCCCGGGACCCAGCGGAAGCCCGCCCGGCGCGUGCCCAGACCCGCCAUACGUCUAAAACAUAUAAGGCGUCUAAAAACAACAAUAAAUAAAGCAGUAAUAAAAGACAACUAGGAGUAUCAGAGUAUGAUAAGUGUCUAAGUUCUAUGACAAGAAAGUAAGGAUAAGACUG
rnacentral:lncRNA from 1 species